CACGUAGGGGGCGAGCGUUUUCCGGAUUUAUUGGGCGUAAAGAGCUCGUAGGCGGCCUGCUAAGUCGGACGUGAAAUCCCUCGGCUCAACCGGGGAACUGCGUCCGAUACUGGCGAGGCUUGAAUCCGGGAGAGGGAUGCGUAAUUCCAGGUGUAGCGGUGAAAUGCGUAGAUAUCUGGAGGAACACCGGUGGCGAAGGCGGCAUCCUGGACCAAUAUUGACGCUGAGGAGCGAAAGCCAGGGGAGCAAACGGG
rnacentral:rRNA from 1 species